UGGACUAUCAGUAUAAGGUAUAUAAGGUGUAUUAUUCAAUGUCUGUCUCCUAAUAUAUAAUAUUUUCGUAUAAAUCUAAUAUAAAAAUACCAACUCAUAUACAAACCAUCUAAAGAAUAUGAAUACAUUUUUAUUAUAUUUAAUAAAUGAUUGAUUUGAUUUAAGGACAUUUUAUUUAUCAUAUUUACUAUAAUUCAACUAAUUUAAAUUGAAAUAAUUUGGGAAUUUUAAGAUUUUAAAUUGACAUUGUCUGUUAUUGAUUUUUAAAUUUAAAAAAAACAACACAUUGUACUGAUUUCAAUCAAAAAAUUAUUUUAGAAUGAACAAAAAAUAGCCAUAAGUAUAUAUUUCUUUAUAAUGAAGUAUGGAAUUUUUUUUUCUCAAUAAAUUUGUAUUCUGAAAAGGGUUAGUUUAGUUGAUUUAUAAAUAUUGAAAAAUGUCAGUACUUCUUACAAAGGAAGGAAAUAUUUUAUCAGCAUAAUUCUAAAUAGUAUCCUUUCAAUUUUAAAUGAAGAUCAUAGAUACAAUCCUAAAUGUACAGCUAAGAAAAGUAUGGAUAAAUUAAUUUAUUUUAUAUAUGAACUUACUUCGGCUUUUAAGUAAUACAAUUUUCAUGACAAAAAAAGUAAUAUCAAAUUUUAUAAUCGUCAAUUAAUUAUGAAAAUUCUAAAAUUGUGCCUUUUUAAAAUCAAAUAUAUAUUAGUUAAAUUAUUGUGAAAAUGAUUUGUAUUAAUGUCCUAAAUUCGUGUAAUCAUAUUUAAAGAAUAUUGUACUCAUAUUCUCAAAUAAAAUAUAGAUAUCAUAUUUAUAUAUAUAUAUAUAUAUAUAUUUGUUCAUAUAAAUAAAUAUUAUAUAUAUUAGGAGAAUAACACUGGUUAAAUGUACCUUAUAUACAAAAAAAUAUUUAUCUACACAGGUAUAUUGGUUUUCAAUGAUAUUAUUAUACUUUCAUAAUUUCUUAUUGUUUUUGAUGUGUAUAUAUUUAUGUGUCAUAUCAAUUUAUCUGCAAUUAACUAUAUAAUUAAUAUCUACAAAUAUUGGUACACAGAACAUGUUUAUUAUGAUGUAUUCAAACUAAUUUUUUACAGGAAAUUAAGACAAUCACCAUAAAUUCAUUGAUUUAAUACAUGAUUUCAAUAAAUACAUAUUUCUGGACUCUAAAAUUAUAGUUUAAUACUAAUAGGUAAUUAAAUAUCACAUAAACGUUAUUAUAAUUGCAAAAUUAUUAUAAAUAUCGAAAAACAAUAUUUACUAAUCUAUAAAUCCCAAUAAAAAAAAUUGCUUUGAAAAUCUCAAAAUUACAUCUUAAUAAUAUCAAUUUUAAACUUUUAGUAUCUAUAAAAAAUAAUUCCUGAAAUAUGUUUAAAAAUAUUCGUAAAAUUAUCAAUGUAUAUAUAAUAUUUAUAUAGGAAAAUAAUCUAAAAACACUAACUCAAUUGGAGACCAUUUGAGAAACAUGAGUACAAACUUCUUAAAAAUGGAUUAAUAUGAAUUAAGGACAUUGUAAUUAACCUUUUUCCAUAUACUUGGUAUCUACAAAUUGGUAACUGGAAUACAUCUCAUUAAACUGGUACAACAGGUGAUAAUAACUACUUUUUUAUAAAACAAUUGUUAUAAAUCAUGGUUUUUCUACCUUAUAGAGUGUCCGUUAUAAGAAGGUGGUUUUAAUGUAUAUUAUGGCAGCUCUUAAAUGAAUCAUGGUUGAACUUUUAUGAAUGCACCCCCUAAGAUAGUUCUAAAUAAAUAUAAUAAAAUCCACUCCAAUUUUGAAAGCUUUAUCUCAAUAUUAUGCCUCAAGUUACCUAAAUUUUUUAAAUUUGAAUUAAAAUGUAGUUUUUUUGACUUCAUGAACUGGAAGCUAAGGUUGAAUCCUGGCAAAAUAGAAUCUUCUAUAUUUUAUCUAAAUAAUAAGCAAGCUAAUGCCAAACUAAAAAUUACUUUCAGUGGUCAUAAUAUCGCACAUAAUCCAUGUCCAAAAUACCUAGGAAUUACUCUUAAUAGGUCCCUUACCUUUAAAAACCACAUAACUUGUGUUAUGGCUAAGAUUUGCGCAAGAAAUAAUAUAAUCUAAAAACUAGCAGGCAUAGAUUAGGGUACUGAUUCAUUUACACUAAAAACAUCUUCAAUUGCAUUAGUGUAUUCAGUUGCGGAGUAUUGCGCACCUGUAUGGAUCAACAGCAACCACACUAAAAAGAUAGACUCUCAACUAAACAGUUAUGUGAAUCAUAACAAGCAUUAUUAUUUAAAUAAUGAAUAAUUUUCUACAUGUGUGCUUUGUGUUGUUUGUAGAGUUUGUGGUAUGUUAGUUCACCGGUAUUUGGUUUGUGUUGACAUACCAGUUUUAUUUUUUGAUUUAUCAUUAUUUUUCAGUAAAUACUGUAAAAUUAGUAAAUACUAUAAAUUAUAUAAACCAUGUGUGUGGUUAUCAGGUUACCAUAGUACAAAAAAUAAUUGAAAAUAUUCUGCAGUAGAUCAAAUGGUGGUUACUGAAACAGUAGUAUACUGGUAUUUGAAAAUAUUUGAAAAUACCAGUGAUUCACCGGUAUACUGAAAAUACUGCCAGCUCUAGUUGGAUGGUAACCAAAUUAUUAAAUAUUCUAAUCUAACACGUACCGAAAUAAAAAUGUUUGUGUGACUUAACACUGCUAGGUCCUCAGUUUAUGUUAUGAGUAGGACAACAUUUUGUACCGUAUUUAUGAUAUAAGUAUAGAACUAAGUAUCAAAUAUUUAUAAUACAUAACACAUGGUAUUUGAAUAUCAUAUUUUAUUUUUAAGCCAACAUAUUAAAUACAAUAAUAAAUAGGUGGUAAAUGGAAAGGUACAUAAAGUAAUUUAAUUUAAAUAUAAUAUAUACGUGAAGAACACGUGGGGCGCGUUGAAUUUUUCUUUUUUUCCCGUUGUUUUUGAACCUUAAUCUCAUCGGCGAUCGGGGUCUCAUCGUUAUUAAUAUUGAGAAUAUUCUUCAAUUU
rnacentral:lncRNA from 1 species